CUUUUCAUUCCCGUUGUUAUGGAGGUAGGCUCUCUAGGAAUCUGGGAGUAGUAGCUGGGGGGCAAGAGCAAAUAAAGAGCUCGAGCUUCUGUGGUCUCUGGGGAGAUGUUCCCGGGAAGCCUGUCUAGAGGGCGGAGGGCAGCUGUUGAGAUGGCGUGGCUCCCCGGCUCCUGCGCCCGCGUGGCUUUCGCGGCGGGCGCUGCGGCCCGGUAUUGGACAGCCUGGCAGGGCAGCGCGGGGCCGAAUCCGGCUGCCGUGGCUGAGGCUCAUGGAUCACUCUUUUGUGGUAGGGCCACAUCUGCCAGAGCCUGGAGUCUGCGAAGGCCGGGACCCGGUUCCCCGGCCCACAGUGGGGGUGUGCAAACCCGAGAGAACUGGGUUGCAAAUUCGUGAAGAAUCAGCAUCAUGUUUGGCAGCUGAGUAUUGGAGCCAGGAGCCUGCCAUGAGGUUAUAUUCCCAGAGGAUGUCAGUCCCAAGGACCAGUAGCUGCCAUCAGUUUGGAUUCUGAAAACUAACUGGCAUCAACACUGGGUGUAGAAACAUGCUUGCCUUAUGUAUCAGAGGACAUGCUCAGCAGAUCCAAGAGAUAUAUUUGGCAACUUUUUCUAGAAAAGGCACAUUGGGUAUCAUUCAUUACAUUCUUGAGUUUUUUUGGGUUUUUUUUUUUUUUUUUGAGACAGUCUUGCUGUAUUGCCCAGGCUGGAGUGUGGUGGCACAAUCACAGCUCAUUGCAUCCUCAAUCACCCAGGCCUAAGCAAUCCUCCCACCUUGUAGCUGGGACUACAGCUCACAGCACACCUGGCUAAAAUUUUUUUUUUGUUGAGACGGAUUCUCUAUGUUGCCCAGGCUGGUCUCAGGCUCCUGGGCUCAGAUGGUCCUCCUGCCUCAGCUUCCAAAGGCACAGGCCAAGUUGUAGCUUUGUCCCUUGCCAUCAUGCCCAACAAGAGGUUCUAUACCUUUUAAUGAAUUGACUUUCAUAAAUUGGUUAUGUUGGUGGGCAAAGUUCUUUAAGCUGGAAAUUGUAAAUUCCUCCUGAAAUGUUUUUUCAUGCAGUUACCAUGAACUAAUACUACAAUAAAGGAUGGUCUUGGGUGUCAAUUCUUGAAAA
rnacentral:lncRNA from 1 species